AGCGAACGCUGGCGGCAGGCCUAAAACAUGCAAGUCGAACGCCGUAGCAAUACGGAGUGGCAGACGGGUGAGUAACACGUGGGAACGUACCCUUUGGUUCGGAACAACACAGGGAAACUUGUGCUAAUACCGGAUAAGCCCUUACGGGGAAAGGAUUUAUCGCCAGAGGAUCGGCCCGCCGUCUGAUUAGCUUGUUGGUGGAGGUAACGGCUCACCAAGGCUACGAUCAGUAGCUGGUCUGAGAGGAUGAUCAGCCACACUGGGACUGAGACACGGCCC
rnacentral:rRNA from 1 species